AUUGAACGCUGGCGGCAUGCCUUACACAUGCAAGUCGUACGGCAGCACGGGAGCAAUCCUGGUGGCGAGUGGCGAACGGGUGAGUAAUGUAUCGGAACGUGCCCAGUCGUGGGGGAUAAUGCAGCGAAAGCUGUGCUAAUACCGCAUACGAUCUAUGGAUGAAAGCGGGGGAUCGCAAGACCUCGCGCCAUUGGAGCGGCCGAUAUCAGAUUAGCUAGUUGGUGGGGUAAAAGCUUACCAAGGCGACGAUCUGUAGCUGGUCUGAGAGGACGACCAGCCACACUGGAGCUGAGACACGGUCCAGACUCCUACAGGAGGCAGCAGUGGGGAAUUUUGGACAAUGGGCGCAAGCCUGAUCCAGCAAUACCGCGUGCAGGAUGAAGGCCUUCGGGUUGUAAACUGCUUUUGUACGGAGCGAAAAGGCUUUCUCUAAUACAGGGGGCUCAUGACGGUACCGUAAGAAUAAGCACCGGCUAACUACGUGCCAGCCGCCGCAGUAA
rnacentral:rRNA from 1 species